UAGGCCCGCCUGCGGCUUCCACACGCCCAGAGGGGUCCCCAGCUCCAAGAUGCUACGUGGGCUCGUUUUUUUCACAGAAAGAGGGGCAGGAGGGCUUGCAGGCUUGCAGGCUCCGCUGCCUGGCUCACUGACAGGGAUGCGAAGGAGGGGUGCUUUAGAGGUCAAGACCCUGGGAGACUGGGGGCUGAGCAAGGAAAUUGCCUACGUGCCUGACGGCUGAAAGACGGAAUUAGAAGCGCUCUUCUCUGAAUGUGCGAAUGCUGCAGGACCUCCUGUUAAGUUCGGGACCUACAGGGUUGAAAGUCUGGGUCUCCCGAGGGCACAAAAGAAGGUCAACCCUCUUUUGCCUUUCCAAGCACU